ACAGCAGCAGCCGCGGGAAUACAGAGGGUGCGAGCGUUAAUCGGAUUUACUGGGCGUAAAGCGUGCGUAGGCGGCUUUUUAAGUCGGAUGUGAAAUCCCUGAGCUUAACUUAGGAAUUGCAUUCGAUACUGGGAAGCUAGAGUAUGGGAGAGGAUGGUAGAAUUCCAGGUGUAGCGGUGAAAUGCGUAGAGAUCUGGAGGAAUACCGAUGGCGAAGGCAGCCAUCUGGCCUAAUACUGACGCUGAGGUACGAGAGCAUGGGGAGCAAACAGGAUUAGAUACCCCGGUAGUCCCUGUCUCUUAUAC
rnacentral:rRNA from 1 species